rnacentral:rRNA from 1 species
AUUGAACGCUGGCGGCAUGCCUUACACAUGCAAGUCGAACGGUAACGGGCCUUCGGGUGCCGACGAGUGGCGAACGGGUGAGUAAUGUAUCGGAACGUACCUUUCAGUGGGGGAUAACGUAGCGAAAGUUACGCUAAUACCGCAUAUUCUGCGAGCAGGAAGGCAGGGGAUCGCAAGCACUUGCGCUGAUUGAGCGGCCGAUAGCAGAUUAGCGAGUUGGUGAGGUAAAGGCUCACCAAGGCGACGAUCUGUAGCGGGUCUGAGAGGAUGAUCCGCCAGACUGGAACUGAGACACGGUCCAGAAUCCUACGGGAGGCAGCAGUGGGGAAUUUUGGACAAUGGGGGCAACCCUGAUCCAGCCAUGCCGGGUGAGUGAAGAAGGCCUUCGGGUUGUAAAGCUCUUUCGGCCGGGAAGAAAUCGUAUCAGCUAAUACCUGGUGCGGAUGACGGUACCGGCAUAAGAAGCACCGGCUAACUACGUGCCAGCCGCCGCGGUAACAC